AUAUCUAAUCUCCUGCCUUUUUUUUUUCUUUUUUGGCCUUUCGCGGCGACUUGUCUAGGGCACAUCCUGUGUCUGCAAAUUCCCCAGGUUAAUUACACAUCGUGUGCGCGCGCGCGCGCGCGCUCUUGUCUGUCUGUCUGGGGGGGGAAGGGGAGGGCAUAGCUAUCCAAUUAGUACGCUUUCUCUGCCUUUUCCUCCCAACCCCUGUCGUUUCUUUGCUCUCCAAAGCCGGUCCUUGUUUGUGGAUCUGGGCUGAGGAUGAGAACCCUGGAGAGGGAGCUUUUAUACGCCUCUCCUCGCCGCGCGCCUCCGGCGCCCCCACCCCUUUCUCUCUCCACAAUAGAGGCUCUGCUCUGGCUAAUCACUCUUCGCUCUUCCACCUUCUCCCUCCUCCUCUCUCCCCCUCCCCCUCCCCCGCCCCCGCCUCUCCUGGCUGGCUGGCUGCACCACUAUUUUCCUCUUGCCCUUCCCCGAUGGUCCAUCUUUAUUUCUGCUCUGGGCUGACCAGAGCGGUUUCCAGCCCAAAAGGAGAGCGAGCGGGUCGUGGCAUGACUUGCGGGGCCCCGGUGCCACCGAGGCACUCUGGAGCCUCUGUCCGGGGAAUAACAGCGCCGGCCGGGGAUUGGAGAAAUUGCUUCCAGCCCUUAAAGUGACCUGCAGGACCUUCACACCCAGCCAACGCAGGACAGGAAGGGCUGGGCAGACAGAAGGCGAAGGGAGCGAGACACAGAGAGUCCUGGAGUGGGCACAGAAGAAGCUGCAGCCGGGGGCAAAGGAAAGGUCCCCUGCAGCGCCGUCCUCUCCCCCUAGGGAACAGGGCUCCCCAUCCGAGCUGCAAGGCUUCCCGGGAGACAUGAGAUGCUCUGAGGUCUGGAGGGAGGGCAGCCCCAGCCCAUCUCUUCCCCCUGGCCUGCUCAAGGGGCUCCCGGGCAGUUCUCCUAAAGGCACUCCUUGGGGUGACUGUUUGCUCAGUUCAAUGAAGCUCUUUCCCACUCUCAGGCCAGAUCUCGGUCCACACUCGAUGGCCAACGUCCUCCUUCAAGGGGUUAAUCAAGCACUCUUUGUUUGUGUGCAGCUCUGGGUGGUGGUGAGUGUCUUGUGUGUGUGUGUGGUGAAGGGAUGGCAAGCCUUUGAGAGGCUUUAGAGGCCGAGCAGAGCCCCCGCCCCACCCCCUUACCCCAGACAGGGGAGGGAGUAAGCACUCCCAUGGGGUCUUAAGUGGGGUGGAAAGGGGGGAAGGGAACAGCCCCCUUCCGCCUGUUGGCUACAGUGCCACACGUUGGCCAGCACAGGACUAGGGAGUUCCAAAG
rnacentral:lncRNA from 1 species